rnacentral:rRNA from 1 species
UACGGGGGGUGCGAGCGUUGUCCGGAAUCACUGGGCGUAAAGGGCGCGUAGGUGGCCUGGUAAGUCUGUGGUGAAAGCCCGGAGCUCAACUCCGGGUCUGCCGCGGAUACUGCGAGGCUUGAGUGCUGUAGAGGGGGGUAGAAUGCCGGGUGUAGCGGUGGAAUGCGUAGAGAUCCGGCAGAAGACCGGUGGCGAAGGCGGCCCCCUGGGCAGUAACUGACACUGAGGCGCGGAAGCGUGGGGAGCAAACAGG